UCUCGCAUUAUUAUUUAUACCACACAUCGCUCAUGCAGAACUAAUUUAAUUUUACUUCGUAUUACUGAUUUCACCAUACUUACACAAAUCUAAAUAGUCGCAACUCAUUUACAUUCAUCAAAGUAUUUACCUCCUCCUUAACUCAAUCAAGUCUAAAGCAAACAUUUAGAAAGAACGAACUGACCAUAUAUAACAAGGAAUUUGGAUAAACACUUCAUAUGCAACAAGUUUUCAUCAAUCAAGGAUUGACUAAUCCUUCCUAGACAAACAAAAAUGACACCAAGAAAUCAGUUUAACACAUGCAGAUUUUCUAGACAGCAGCACAGCGGUUAACGAUUUUAUUCAUAAAACACAAAAUAUGCAUCCAAAAAUGGUAAACUAAGACUUUCUGGAAAGCCUAAGAAAUCCUCUACAACUUUGGUAUUAUAAUCACCAUGAGAUAAGACACUUAGAAAGGUCAAUCAGAAUUAUACGAUAAUGUUGUCUAGAUUUGGACAGAAUUCGACUACUCACUUCAAAAAUCCAUAAUCAGAGAUGUAGACAUCCAAAACAUGUGAUCCUAGACUUUUUAGAAAGCUAAUAAAAUUGUCUACAACUCAUUUAUAAUCAUCUCAAGGUGAUUCAAUGUGUAUCGAAGUCAGUUAAUUCAAACACACAUUGCUGUCCACACUUCUGACAGAUUCAAACAUCACAUUUCAAACAGCCAUAACUUGACUUCUAGACCACCAGAAAGGGUGCUCCAAAAAUUGUUGAAAAGCUUAAGAAAAGUACUACAAUUCUUCUAUAAUUACUAAGGGCUAAUUCUUAGUUUAAUUUAGUCAAACAAGGCAAUUUUCGAAAUCAGUACAGAAUCUGGACAGAUUCGUAUACUGUACUUGAAAAAAUCAUAACUCCUAAACUACUAAACCUAUGGUCAUGAAAUUUUUACGCAAGCAAGAUAAAGGAGUUAUCUAUAACUUUUCUAUAUAACACUUCUACAGAAAAUAUGAUUUAAUUCACUCAAUUAUUACCCCACAACAGAGAGGAUGUGUGCAGCAAAAUUUAACUCAGAGACAAUCAAGUUCCCUAAGCGAGAUUAUGACAAACCAAAUACGACAUAUCUACUUAUUAACAUAAUAACCACAUCACAGGCGAGGAGACACUUCAACAUCACCUAAUCUACCCACAAUUAUCACAAUUAAAAUACAAACAAGGAGAUUCUUCCCUGCACGCUGAGGGGCAGCACACAGGCACGUCAAAAGACCUAGAAAUCAAUACCUCGCACCCCUCCUACAUAAAAGAAACCAUCGUGACUAAUAUAGCUAUUAAUCUAUUCAUCAAUUAAAUUAGUCGUAAAAAAACAAUGUGUCAUACCACUACUAAGUUGACUCGGAUGAAAGCAAAAACAGCGACGAUCUAAUGUUUAGACCUUUCGUCGAGCAUAUGUUGAGCGUCGCACUGGCCUCGCUUCUUCUCCAUCAAAAAAAAACUAAAUGUCUUCACAUAUCGUGAUCAAUACAUCUAUUCAAUCCAUCGAUCUAAUCAAUUAACAAAAAUAGCGAACUAGAGAACGAUUACCGAACCAACUAUAACUCCAAGCAAACGUUGACGAUUUUGGUUCAUGCCAUUCACCGAACAUCUAGCGAGCAGCGUGUUGGGGCUUUCUCCUCCAUACACUCCUAGGAUUCCUUUAUCCCAAAUCCACGCACAUAUACACAUAUAUCAGCAAGGUACUAGCAAAUUUGUGGGUACUAAGAACUAACAAGACAACACAAGAGAUCUGGGGAUUACUACAGCAAACAAAAAUAACAGUGAGAGUGGGCAGUGAGGUUGAAGACCUGCACGGCGAACGUGUCUGGUGUGAGCACACGAGCCGAAACUAGAAGACGAAGGCGGGGUAAAUCAGUGGAGCGGUUCGAGCUAGAAGAUGUUGUGUUGGCGAUGCUUCACAGACGAGGAGACUUGGAGCAGGGCACACGGUUCUAGUGUGUGCACGGCUGGAGGCGAGGUCGAAGUCGAGGACGCACGCCCGACGAGGAACAGGGAGGGGCGAUGGCGAGCUGGGGCGCAGGGGUGAGCUCACAUCUGGGGAGGUGAGGAGGGCGGCUGGAGAUUGAGGAAGAUAGAGGCUGGGCGGCUAGUGCUCCAUGGGAAGGAAAACAGAGACCGAGGAGAUGACGCCCAGGGCACUGGAUAAGGCUAUCAACCUGUUCAGCGGCGUGGAGAGGAGAAGAAUGAAUUUUCUUCAUUUUUUUGUUAAUAAAAUAUAAUUAUAUCUCUGGUUUCUAGAAUUAGGAUUUUUGCGAUGUGUGAACAGGCCGGACCAAAAUUAUAUGGGUGAUUGUAUUUAGACAACGCUUGCUGAAGUUUGAAAUUGGACAAAAAUGUAUCUGCGGGAACAUAUUUAAUUUUUUUGCCUUAAUGAACAGGGAAACGGAUUAAUUACGAAUACACGGUCUCAGCUCCAAUUAUCUCGGUCUAGUUUAGUUUUGCAUCAGUACUUUUGUCAUCGAGGUCUAAUAUUAUUUGUUGGGGACAAAUUCAUACGACGGAGUUGACCCUCCAAAGUUGCAGCCAAUGACACUAAUUAAUUCUAAAUAGACAAGAGACUCGAGACUUGGUUUAACCAGACAUAGUAAAAUUUCGUGAUGCAUUUGAUUUCCCCGCCACAGAUAACUUGCUGAAGAAAUAGUUUCUAAUUUAUUAACCAUGUGCACGAUUUCUGGGUUGACGAGCACUGUCCAAAUUAAAAAAAAUGUGGAUACGCCGUAAAUCCACAUUCACCUACUCGUGCGCCGACUGGCUCAGGAGGUAAUUAAAAUUUCAAACUUGUGAAACAUUUGAGAUAGUCCAAGUAAAUAAAGGUGAAAAUGACGCCAAACUCAGGAUAGGCUAAGAAAAUUAAGACAUAGGGACCUUUAUUCUUACCGACAUUCCAAGCUUAAGUUCAUCGUCUCUGUCGAACAGAAGGUAAACAUCAGGGGUGUUACAACCCUCCCCCCUUAAAAGAAUCUCGUCCCGAGAUUCAGAACGAAAUACUUUUAAGAGUAGAUAGGCGUGUAACCCCGUCCAUAUCAGUGAUAGCAUAAGGCUGUUCCAAGCAGAGGCGGGGGUCUCAGGAUGUUGUUUCUCUAGUGGGUAUAGCAUGUAUCACUUUUAAGCUGAUUAGAGAUUUCAAUAAGAGAGACGAUAUCUAACAGAAGAAGUCAUAGGGUUCCAUAUGUGCAGUCACUACCAGGGUCAAGAGAAAAGAGAUCACAAAUCAAAAAGGUGAUUAAUUGAUUUUUUUUAUCACACAAUUAGACACAGAUGAGUUUUGAUUUUUAUGGAGAUUUCUAAAUUGGUAGUGAAUUCGUUAAAGAGCACAUUAAAGCGGUAUGCUCCCUGAUCCAAUAGAGAUGACAGAUGUUGCUUGAGUAUUUCACACACAACAUAGAAAUUGUUUCAAGGGAGAGGUCUACGAAAGAUAACAUAUCAAUGUAGUUCCAUAAUGGAUCAUGACUAGAGACCUUGAUACCAGCAUCCGACAAGUAGCACAGUCCCGUGUGCGCAUUCACAGGGAGCUCUCAGAUUCGCUGCGGCACCAUAAGUCCUUAACCAUGACACCAUCACCGAACUGGCACCAAUAAAGAAUCUCACGUGGCAAAACUAGACAUUGUGCCAAGAUAACACAUUGAUAUAGUUUCAUAAUGGAUUACAACUACUAACCGCGAUACCAGCGCGUGCCGAGCAACACAACCGUGUGUGCGCGCGCACAGAAGGCCCCCGGUUUCGUCGCGGCACCGUCAGUUUUAGUCAUAACACCAUUACCAAACAUAACCAAUAAGAAAUCUCACGCGACACAAAUAGACUGAGCCAAGAUGACAAUAUACAAAAGAGACUCCACCUGUAAGAAUGAUUACAAGUAGAGAGUCAAAUAGAUCAUGACCCGAUGAAGUGAACACGAUACAGCCAAAACCGAAAAUUGGUUGAUAAGGGAGUACGAUGGGAGACUGUUACUUUAGCCCCAAGCAUAUUUCUAUGUCCAUUGCAGAGAUUAUUCAUGUCAAUAAUUAGCGUCCAAUAAGAUAUGGAAGGGAAACAAUCAUAAGAUUAAAUUGAUAAGCCUUCGAGAGAUAUGAAAAAAAUCAAAGGCAUUAAAUUCAAGAAAAUGAUUGGGCACUGCUUUCCUAGGUUGGACUGAGAAAGCAACAAGAUGAUCCUGAUGGAGACGCAAACUGACAUAGAGAUAUCAGCUUGCACCAACCGAACAAAGGUAUGUUUUAGGAUGAAAAUAUAACCAUAAGAGCUACAAGUUGGCUGUUAAGAUCAGGGACUCGAGAUUAUUAUUAUUUUUUAAAGUUUGAGUGCAUCUUAGGUCCAAUAAGGGGAUUACCUAAACAUCUAUUUAUAUGACCUUGAUCACAAAGUAACGAUGGAAAAAUUUAGACUCAUCCAAUGGAAAAAUUUUAGGAAAUUAACAUCGAUUUGGGUCAUGGCUCCUAGAUGAGGACAUGGCCAAAUUUUUAGUUUACACAAACAUACCACCAACAUUCUACCGGCACAAACACACCAGAACAAACACAAGUUGGACUAGUGGUCAAACUAAGAAGAACCAUAGGCCACAUAAAUACAUGUCUAAAGGACCCAACAAAUAAGACUAGAAAUUUGCUUAUAGGAUAGUAAUGCUUCACACAUUUUCCAAUUAUUUAUUAUCGGAAUAAAGAUGAGGGAAGCACGUUCGUUCACAAUCACCAAUUAUUAGAAUAAAGGUGAGAGAAGCUUAUUUGUGCACAAACGACAAACACAAUGCAACAAUCAGGAUGCAUGCUCGUCCUAUUCGUUCACGAAUUUCGCCAAUAUAAUGUGGCAAUAGCGUUAUAUAUCGGUGGCAUAUCUACGUUCUCUCUCGGUAUAUUGCUAGUCGUCAGCUACACAUACGGGUUCGAAGUUAGUGUACCUGUAGAAAAUUUCCAUCACAGCCCAUUUCCCAAUGAUGCAAUUCACACAUGACAGUUUAUCACAGUUUAUACUCCAUAUAUUUCUAUAUGGUGGCCAGCUCCUCAUUAAGCGCCGAGCCACGCAUAGGCGCCGCUGCCACACUUUAACCACAGGGCAACCCAUUAUGGUAACUCACCUUCUUACCUGAUCGUAGGUGCGUCAUUGCAAGUACAUUACAUUUCUCAGUAGUCCCAUGUCGUAGUCCCAUGUCUGUAUGCCCAAACACAUCCAUGGGGUACUGAAUCCACAGAUAAGUAAUUACUCCACAUCGCAGCCUUCAUAUAUACAUAUGUGUAACAUGUAUAUAAUCAAGCGCUUUCUAUACUCUCCCCUAGACCGACGUUUGUUCGGUCAUGCUCUCACAUCUCACCUUACCUGAGCGUCGAGUCAUUCAAAACUGAAUGGCCUCAAAAAUAACAUUACACAUGUAUGCAAUAUUCCCCCCAGUUGUGGGUUAGUGUUUUGAACUAAGCCACCUGAUAGUCCUUAAUUUAGGGCUUAAUAGAGGAUGUCGCUAGCAUUAUAGUUUUUCAAAUCUAUUUUUCAAAACCAAACAAUGUGUUUAGUUGAAAAUAGAUUUUUGAAACCAAAACUUUGUUUUAAAAAUAUGUAUGUGAUUGUAUUAUACUUAAUUCAGCUCUGAUACCAGCUGAGGCAGAACCUCCCAAGUUAUUGGGCUCACAUGCACCUGUCCUUGUCCCAAGGACCACAAACGGCUAUGCAUGUGCACCAAACAACUUAACAGGAUCUGUCUGAGUGUCCCAAUGACCCCGGAUAAACCACUUACCGCAGAGAUCGCAGGAUUAAGUAAACACAACUCACACACAAACACUUGCAGCGGAAAUAAACUCUUUAUUGCAAAAUGAUUACAAGUUUAUCAAGAUUUUAUUAUACCUCAUCGGAGUGAUUACAAAAGAAAGUGUUUCAAAAGAAUUACACUUUAAAAUGUUAUAGAAUAUUUGUAAAUUUGAAAUACAUGCUAGCUUAAGUGACAAUCCUCAUUAAAGAAACUAUAGGAGGGAUAUACUUAUAUAAGAAGGCCGAGCCCACCGGCACUUAGCACCAUCCACAACAUAACAAAAUUACAACCUGAAAAACAACAGGGAAUAAAACCCUGAGUACGCAAUUACUCAGCAAGACUUACCUGACUAAAGAAAAGACUCUCAAGGGUAUGCUGGUUUGUCGGGAAUCAAGGUAAAGCUUAUCAAAUUUCAAAGACUCAUUUUUGCAGAAAAGCUUACUAGUAGUGGAUCCUUAUGCCAAAAUUUUACAUCAUAAGUUAAGUACUUUUCCUGAAUCUAGAUUUGCCUAAUCUAGAGCAUUCACUUGUCCUAUACUAACUUUCUUUUAAAUCAAAAGUUUGUUUCGCUUGUUAUCUACGAUGAAGGGCAGUGAUCUAGUCUUCACAUCCGAGAAGUAACGGCGAUCCGAAUCGAUUAAUACCCAGCUGGGGAUCUCCAACCACACGACAUAUGUAGCACUUAACCCUUGCAUAUGUCAACCAUUCCCACGGAUCCUCCACUACAUGAACAGGUCCGCGCUACCCGGGAGCACAUUACCCUACCAUCCAGCCUCUUGCCAGGAGGGUAACUGCUACUCCCACCAUCUCCCACGUCCAGUGCGCUGUUGUCUUUUCACGUAUGGAAUAGUCGGGUUCAGGCUUACCCAUGACGAUGUAUGUGGCCAGUUAAAAUGUCCUAGAUCAUCAGGCCAACAAUCGGUACGGUCCUUAAUCGACACAGACGGACGACCUUUCCUGCUCAACGUCUGAUCCCAUUUUAAACUAUUUCAAAAAUUUGGCGCCUGACAGAGGGGCCAUGCCUGGAUAAUGAAUUUAUCAACGUCUUGAUGCCUUCAUUAUCCCAAGCUCAUUUUCUUUUUUGUAAAAACAUGAGUCAUAUAUCAAAAAUAUGUUUCUUAAUAUAUCAGCAAGACUAAGCAUCUCUAGCUUUUAUAAAACGGGUGACAAGGUGUGGUAAUCAACCUUUCAAGGAUGGUAAUGCAUCAAAUGUUUAAUCACUCAACUCCUAUCACCUAAUGCAGCAUAUAAGUGAUAAAAUUUUGUAAACACAAGGAAGGUGACAAAUGCACCGGGGCUUGCCUGAGAUAACACUAUGUUAGUGUUGUUAGAUGAUGGCCACUUGACGAUCAACUUUUAUUCUGACACCCGCUUAGUCCAUCUAGCUUCAGGAUCAUCGGCCGACAUCGUCUUGUGGGUUGUUUUGAUCCACACCCCUCGCUUCGCACGAUUUUCAGCUAGCGUACCUAAUUAGAUGUACAAUGCACAUGUAUAAACAUAAGGAAGAAUAACACAACAUAUUACACACAAUAAAGAAUUAAGCACAAUGACGAGGCGCUGCAACACUUGUGAGAAAAUACUAGACGUCAACAAAUGACUAAGUACAACAAGGACGACCACGGGUUCUAACCCAAACAUCGAGAAACUUUAAACGAAUACAAGUCCUAUCGUACUUAGGUAGAGUAUAAUACAAAAGAUUCAUCCGAUUAAAUUCACUAUAACUGGCUUCUAGGACUAACAUAUGGAGAGAAGCAAACUAACACAUUUAACACAAUUAGCCUAAACAGACUUAUCAGCUAAUUAUUGAAAUGCUACAUUUAUCUCUCGCAUUAUUAUUUAUACCACACAUCGCUCAUGCAGAACUAAUUUAAUUUUACUUCAUAUUACUGAUUUCACCAUACUUACACAAAUCUAAAUAGUCGCAACUCAUUUACAUUCAUCAAAGUAUUUAUCUCCUCCUUAAUUCAAUCAAGUCUAAAGCAAACAUUUAGAAAGAAUGAACUGACCAUAUAUAACAAGGAAUUUGGAUAAACACUUCAUAUGCAACAAGUUUUCAUCAAUCAAGGAUUGACUAAUCCUUCCUAGGCAAACAAAAAUGACACCAAGAAAUCAGUUUAACACAUGCAGAUUUUCUAGACAGCAGCACAGCGGUUAACGGUUUUAUUCAUAAAACACAAAAUAUGCAUCCAAAAAUGGUAAACUAAGACUUUUUGGAAAGCCUAAGAAAUCCUCUACAACUUUGGUAUUAUAAUCACCAUGAGAUAAGACACUUAGAAAGGUCAAUCAGAAUUAUACGAUAAUGUUGUCUAGAUUUGGACAUAAUUCGACUACUCACUUCAAAAAUCCAUAAUCAGAGAUGUAGACAUCCAAAACAUGUGAUCCUAAACUUUUUAGAAAGCUAAUAAAAUUGUCUACAACUCAUUUAUAAUCAUCUCAAGGUGAUUCAAUGUGUAUCGAAGUCAGUUAAUUCAAACACACAUUGCUGUUCACACUUCUGACAGAUUCAAACAGCCAUAACUUGACUUCUAGACCACCAGAAAGGGUGCUCCAAAAAUUGUUGGAAAGCUUAAGAAAAGUACUACAAUUCUUCUAUAAUUACUAAGGGCUAAUUCUCAGUUUAAUUUAGUCAAACAAGGAAAUUUUCGAAAUCAGUACAGAAUCUGGAUAGAUUCGUAUACUGUACUUGAAAAAAUCAUAACUCCUAAACUACUAAACCUAUGGUCAUGAAAUUUUUACGCAAGCAAGAUAAAGGAGUUAUCUAUAACUUUUCUAUAUAACACUUCUACAGAAAAUAUGAUUUAAUUCACUCAAUUAUUACCCCACAACAGAGAGGAUGUGUGCAGCAAAAUUCAACUCAGAGACAAUCAGGUUCCCUAAG
rnacentral:lncRNA from 1 species